CCAUUUUGAGGCCAGAUUUAGUGAAGAGAACUUGCCAGAAGAUUAGGACUGUCUUCCAAAUACUUAAGCAAAUUUUGUGUUGAAAGCAAACUGCUGAAGAAAUAUAACCAUAUGCUUUUAAAAUGAGGCCUCUGCAAUCGAGGGACAUAAAGCAACUGCCACAUGCUCAUGACCUCCCCCUCCCCCCACUUAAUAAGGCACCUUUAUUUCACCAGAAAUAAAAUUUUAUUAGUAACGUGUCAAA
rnacentral:lncRNA from 1 species